UACGGAGGGGGCUAGCGUUGUUCGGAAUUACUGGGUGUAAAGCGCACGUAGGCGGCUUGGUAAGUUAGAGGUGAAAGCCUGGAGCUCAACUCCAGAAUUGCCUUUAAGACUGCCGAGCUAGCAGGUGAGAGAGGUGAGUGGAAUUCCGAGUGUAGAGGUGAAAUUCGUAGAUAUUCGGAAGAACACCAGUGGCGAAGGCGGCUCACUGGCUCAUACUGGACGCUGAGGUGCGAAAGCGUGGGGAGCAAACAGG
rnacentral:rRNA from 1 species